GUCGGUCCUCCUGAGUCCUCCUCCUCCUCCCCUCCUCCUGUAGACUGUGGGCUGUGUUGGAUGUUGCUGUUCAGUCUGUGUCCUGUGUCUGCUCUCCUCUCCUCUCUCCUCUCCUUUGCCUGUGUCUAUUCCUUCUGCAGAACAACAGCUCCAUCUGAGACUCAGGUUCCUCUGAACAGGACGACCACCAGGGGAAGUGACAGCAGAGAGCAGACUACAGUCAGAUACCUACGCAUCCAUUAAAUCAUCCAGCAUUAUGAGACCGAAACCAUCCAUCAAUACCAGCAGAGUGAGACCCAUUACCAGCCUUCAGAACCAGCAGUGUGAGACCUAUAAAGGUCAUCAAUACCAGCAGAGUGUGAGACCUAUACCAGUCAUCAAUACCAGCAGAGUGAGACCCAUUACCAGCCUUCAGAACCAGCAGUGUGAGACCUAUACCAGCUAUUAAGACCAAUACCAGUCAUCAAUACCAGCAGAGUGUGAGACCUAUACCAUCCAUCAAUACCAGCAGAGUGAGACCGACACCAGCCAUCAAUACCAGCAGAGAUUGAGACCUAUACCAUCCAUCAAUACCAGCAGAGUGAGACCUAUACAAGCUAUCAAUAUCAGCAGAGAUUGAGACCUAUACCAGCCAUCAAUACCAGCAGAGAGUGAGAUCUAUACCAGCCAUCAAUACCAGCAGUGAGACCGAUACCAGCCAUCAAUACCAGCAGAGAGUGAGAUCUAUACCAGCCAUCAAUACCAGCAGAGUAAGACCUAUACCAGACAUCAAUACCAGGAGAGUGUGAGACCUAUACCAUCCAUCAAUACCAGCAGAGUGAGACCUAUACCAGCCAUCAAUACCAGCAGAGAUUGAGACCUAUACCAUCCAUCAAUACCAGCAGAGAGUGAGAUCUAUACCAGCCAUCAAUACCAGCAGUGAGACCGAUACCAUCUGGUUAACCUCCAGAGCUCUGUUUCUCUGGUUAACCUCCAGAGCUCUGUUUCUCUGGUUAACCUCCAGAUCUCUGUUUCUCUGGUUAACCUCCAGAGCUCUGUUUCUCUGGUUAACCUCCAGAGCUCUGUUUCUCUGGUUACCUCCAGAGCUCUGUUUCUCUGGUUAACCUCCAGAGCUCUGUUUCUCUGGUUAACCUCCAGAUCUCUGUUUCUCUGGUUAACCUCCAGAGCUCUGUUUCUCUGGUUACCUCCAGAGCUCUGUUUCUCUGGUUACCUCCAGAGCUCUGUUUCUCUGGUUACCUCCAGAGCUCUGUUUCUCUGGUUACCUCCAGAGCUCUGUUUCUCUGGUUAACCUCCAGAGCUCUGUUUUUGCUUCUCUAAGUAAAUCUAAGGAAGGAAUGGAAUUAAGAAUGAGAGAUCUUUUAACACAAAAUGUCAAGUGUUAACUCCUUAGCUUCUUUUAUCAUGUCAUUUUUAUUUACCAUUUGAAAAUGUCUACAUUUAAUUGGUAUGGAUUUACUAUGUUGGAUUUAGCUAGUGUUAA